AGCUCUGCCCUCAAUGUCUUGCCAUGGAUGCCUAGCUCCAGAGCCGAAGAGAACCACCAUAAAUCUCCAGAGAGGAGUGACCCUCCCCACAGUUCCCAACAAAAGGGCAAACCAACCAAUUGACCCUGGGCUGGGCACGACGUCAUCCAAUGACCUCCACCACAUGAUGUACUCUCUGUUGUCUGGACUCUCCUGGGAUAAGCAGUGGGUGGGGACUGUCCUCAGUGAGGGCCUGGCUCUGUUACGCCACCUUCAUUGCCACGGUCCACCCUCCUGUUCACCAGUUUCUCCCCUUGCACAAUUUACAAUGGGAAGACAGAACUGGAACUACCUGAGUCAAGGCCUGGGAUGAACAACAAUGCCUCAGCUACCCCAAGUCAUCCUGCUGAUCCAGUCAUUACUACUUUGAGACAAGGUCACAUGGAUUCUUGGCUGGCUUCAAAUUCAUUGUGUGAUCGAGUAUGGCCUUGAAAUUCUGAUUUUCCCGCUACCAUCUCCCCAGUGCUAGAGUCACAGGUGCGUGCCACCAUGCCCUGAAAAAAAUAUUAUGUAUUGUCAGAGAGAGGCAAAAAGCUUCGGCGAAGAGCACUGUGUUGGCAGAGAGGUUCCACCGCCUCUCUGUUCCUCAGUUUCCUCAUGCUAAAAAUAAACAUAAAAGAAUGUCAAGUUCA
rnacentral:lncRNA from 1 species